GACGAACGCUGGCGGCGUGCUUAACACAUGCAAGUCGAACGGAAAGGCCCCUUUGGGGGUCCUCGAGUGGCGAACGGGUGAGUAACACGUGAGUAACCUGCCCUUGACUUCGGGAUAACUUCAGGAAACUGGGGCUAAUACCGGAUAGGAAUCCUUGCUGCAUGGUGGGGGUUGGAAAGCUUCGGCGGUUUUGGAUGGACUCGCGGCUUAUCAGCUUGUUGGUGGGGUAGUGGCUUACCAAGGCUUUGACGGGUAGCCGGCCUGAGAGGGCGACCGGCCACAUUGGGACUGAGAUACGGCCCAGACUCCUACGGGAGGCAGCAGUGGGGAAUAUUGCACAAUGGGCGGAAGCCUGAUGCAGCAACGCCGCGUGCGGGAGGACGGCCUUCGGGUUGUAAACCGCUUUCAGCAGGGGCGAAGCUUGUGGUGACGGUACCUGCAGAAGAAGCACCGGCUAACUACGUG
rnacentral:rRNA from 1 species